rnacentral:lncRNA from 1 species
AUCUCAUCAUCUGUGGGUUCGGUCGAGCCCUCAGGGGUUGGUUGGGAUUUUAUGUCUGUCAUACGGUCCUGAAAACUAAAGUUAUAGCUAUUUUAAUUUUAUAAUAAAAAUUAGAUUGUGAAUGAAAAAAUAAUUGAAAAAACUUACAAAGAGCUCUUGGCUCUCCGUCGUCCACUCCCCUGACUGUCGCUAGUGAGUCCGCAGG